AGAGUUUGAUCCUGGCUCAGGAUGAACGCUAGCGGGAGGCUUAACACAUGCAAGUCGAGGGGUAACAGGGUCUUCGGAUCGCUGACGACCGGCGCACGGGUGAGUAACGCGUAUGCAACCUGCCCUUUACAGGGACAUAGCCCGAAGAAAUUCGGAUUAAUUUCCCAUAGCUUGUUAAAUUCGCAUGAAUUUAACAAUAAAGCUCCGGCGGUAAAGGAUGGGCAUGCGUCCCAUUAGCUAGUUGGCGAGGUAACGGCUCACCAAGGCGACGAUGGGUAUGGGGUCUUAAAGGAUGAUCCCACACACUGGCACUGAGACACGGGCCAGACUCCUACGGGAGGCAGCAGUGAGGAAUAUUGGUCAAUGGGCGGAAGCCUGAACCAGCCAUCCCGCGUGCAGGAUGACAGUCCUAGUGAUUGUAAACUGCUUUUCUAUAAGAAGAAUAAGGUCUACGUGUAGACCGAUGACAGUAUUAUAGGAAUAAGCAUCGGCUAACUCCGUGCCAGCAGCCGCGGUAAUACGGAGGAUGCAAGCGUUAUCCGGAUUUAUUAGGUUUAAAGGGUGCGUAGGCGGACUUUUAAGUCAGUGGUGAAAUCCUGCAGCUUAACUGUAGUAAGCCAUUGAUACUGGGAGUCUUGAGUUCGGUUGAGGUAGGCGGAAUGUGUUGUGUAGCGGUGAAAUGCAUAGAUAUAACACAGAACACCGAUUGCGAAGGCAGCUUACUAAGCCGUUACUGACGCUGAGGCACGAAAGCGUGGGGAUCGAACAGGAUUAGAUACCCUGGUAGUCCACGCUGUAAACGAUGAUCACUCGUUGUUGGCAAUAUACCGUCAGCGACUGAGCGAAAGCAUUAAGUGAUCCACCUGGGGAGUACGUCGGCAACGAUGAAACUCAAAGGAAUUGACGGGGGCCCGCACAAGCGGAGGAACAUGUGGUUUAAUUCGAUGAUACGCGACAUGGUUGUCGUCAGCUCGUGCCGUGAGGUGUCGGGUUAAGUCCCAUAACGAGCGCAACCCUCAUUGCCAGUUGCCAGCACAUCAUGGUGGGGACUCUGGUGAGACUGCCGGUGUAAACCGUGAGGAAGGUGGGGAUGACGUCAAAUCAGCACGGCCCUUAUGUCCAGGGCUACACACGUGUUACAAUGGCCGAUACAAUGGGCAGCAACCCGGCGACGGGAAGCUAAUCCUAAAAAUUGGUCUUAGUUCGGAUCGGAGUCUGCAACUCGACUCCGUGAAGCUGGAUUCGCUAGUAAUCGCACAUCAGCCAUGGUGCGGUGAAUACGUUCCCGGGCCUUGUACACACCGCCCGUCAAGCCAUGGAAGUUGGGAGUGCCUGAAGUCCGUAACCGUAAGGAGCGGCCUAGGGUAAAACCGAUGACUGGGGCUAAGUCGUAACAAGGUAGCCGUACCGGAAGGUGUGGCUG
rnacentral:rRNA from 1 species